GGCGCUGUAGUGUAGAGGUUAUCACUCGAGAUUCUGAUUGGCCACGAUUAAAAUUCCACCUUCUCGAAACCCAGGUUCGAGUCCUGGCAGUGCCU